rnacentral:rRNA from 1 species
AGAAUCAACGCUGGCGGCGUGCCUAACACAUGCAAGUCGAACGAGAAAGUGGAGCAAUCCAUGAGUAAAGUGGCGCACGGGUGAGUAACACGUGACUAACCUACCCUUGAGUGGGGGAUAACCUAGAGAAAUCUGGGCUAAUACCGCAUAAUACCUUCGGGUCAAAGGAGCAAUUCGCUUAAGGAGGGGGUCGCGGCCGAUUAGUUAGUUGGCGGGGUAAUGGCCCACCAAGACUAUGAUCGGUAUCCGGCCUGAGAGGGCGCACGGACACACUGGAACUGAAACACGGUCCAGACUCCUACGGGAGGCAGCAGUGGGGAAUUUUGCGCAAUGGGGGAAACCCUGACGCAGCAACGCCGCGUGGAGGAUGAAGUCCCUUGGGACGUAAACUCCUUUCGAUCGGGACGAUUAUGACGGUACCGAGAGAAGACGCCCCGGCUAACUUCGCGCCAGCAGCCGC